rnacentral:siRNA from 1 species
UUGUGACACUACGUAGAUGCUGGU